rnacentral:siRNA from 1 species
GGCACUCAUUGGUGUGAUGAU